rnacentral:rRNA from 1 species
AUGUCGAGCGGCGGCGACGAUUACAAGCGCGAGGAGUCGGUGGCGCUCAUUGUCAUCGUCUCCCUCGCUGCGCUCUCGCUCCUCUCUCUCAUCGCCGCCUUUGCUUACUACUGCUACAUCACCCGCAAGGUCUCCCGCCGCCUCAACUCGCACCCACUCCCCAAGCGCUCCUCCUCCCCUCCCCCGCUGCCCCUGCCGGCUCCCGUGAUCCCCACGCAGGGGAAGGAGAGCCCGUCCAGCAACUCCGCCAGCGAUGGGGCCGCGGCUGGGGCGCUGGUGAUCGGCGCCGAGAGGGGCGUGCAGGUGUUUGGCUACAGGCAACUGCACGCGGCGACGGGCGGCUUCGGGCGGGCGCAUAUGGUGGGGCAGGGGAGCUUCGGGGCCGUCUACCGCGGGCUGCUCCCCGACGGGAGGAAGGUCGCGGUCAAGCUCAUGGACCGCCCCGGGAAGCAGGGCGAGGAGGAGUUUGAGAUGGAGGUUGAGCUGUUGAGUCGGCUUCGAUCAUCUUAUUUGUUAGGCUUGAUUGGCCAUUGCUCAGAGGGUGGACACCGGCUACUGGUGUAUGAGUUCAUGGCUAAUGGGUGUCUCCAGGAGCAUCUUUACCCAAAUGGAGGUUCCUGUGGUGGCAUCUCAAAAUUGGACUGGCCGACACGAAUGAGAAUAGCUCUUGAAGCAGCAAAAGGUCUGGAGUAUCUCCACGAGCGCGUUACUCCACCUGUUAUACACAGGGACUUCAAGAGCAGCAACAUUCUCUUGGACAAGGACUUCCAUGCAAGAGUCUCAGACUUCGGUUUGGCCAAGCUUGGAUCUGAUAGAGCUGGUGGUCAUGUGUCAACUCGAGUUUUAGGCACGCAGGGCUAUGUCGCACCAGAAUAUGCAUUAACUGGGCAUUUGACAACCAAAUCAGAUGUGUACAGUUACGGGGUUGUGCUUCUGGAAUUGCUUACUGGCAGGGUACCAGUUGAUAUGAAGAGGCCUCCUGGGGAAGGUGUUCUAGUUAACUGGGCAUUACCUAUGCUCACUGAUCGAGAAAAGGUUGUGCAGAUCCUGGAUCCAUCACUGGAAGGUCAAUAUUCAUUGAAAGAUGCUGUUCAAGUGGCUGCUAUCGCUGCCAUGUGCGUUCAACCGGAGGCUGACUAUAGGCCACUGAUGGCCGAUGUCGUCCAAUCGUUGGUUCCACUUGUCAAGAAUCGUUCGAGUUCCAAACCGUGCAACUCAAAUGCCCAAGCAUGA